rnacentral:rRNA from 1 species
UUAGUGAUUCCUCAGUACGGCGAGUGACAGGGAAAAGCUCAAAGUUGGAACCUCCUGGCCCUAGGCCUGGCGGAUUGUAAACUAAAGCUUUCGAGUAGUUCGGCUAGCCCAGUAAAUAAGUUCUCUGGAAAGGGACGACAAAGAGGGUGAAAUCCCCGUUUUUGGCUGGAGCAUAGUCCUGCGUUUGCUUGGAAGUGAAGAGUCAGGUUGUUUGGUAUUGCAGCCUAAAGUGGGAGGUAAAUCUCUCCUAAAGCUAAAUAUUGACGAAAGACCGAUAGCGAACAAGUACCGUGAGGGAAAGAUGAAAAGCACCUUGAAAAGGGGGUCAAAAAGUACGUGAAAUUGCUGAAAGGGAACCGUAUGAAAUCAGCCUGUCUCUUUGGUAAUCAGCCUGGACUUUGGUCUGGGUGCACUUGCCAGUGAGUCAGCCUACGACAAUUUGACCUGGGGGAAAAAAUCAGGGGGAAUGUGGCCUCGGCUUCGGUUGAGGUGUUAUAGCCCCUUGAAAAAUACUCUGGGUUGGAUUGAGGACUGCAGCGAGCCUUCUGGGAUGAACUGUGGGUGCUUGGUCGUAGCUAGAAAGAAAUCUCUAUCUCUGGUAGUGUCUUUUUAGUUGUGGUCAACUCGCCUACUUUUUCUUUUUCUCGCUUAGGUCGUAGGCAUAAUGAUUUUAUAUGACCCGUCUUGACCCACGGGACCAA